rnacentral:rRNA from 1 species
CCUACGGGGUGCAGCAGUGGGGAAUAUUGGGCAAUGGGCGCAAGCCUGACCCAGCAACGCCGCGUGAAGGAAGAAGGCCCUCGGGUUGUAAACUUCUUUUAUUCGGGACGAAACAAAUGACGGUACCGCAUGAAUAAGCCACGGCUAACUACGUGCCAGCAGCCGCGGUAAUACGUAGGUGGCAAGCGUUAUCCGGAUUUACUGGGUGUAAAGGGCGUGUAGGCGGGAGAGCAAGUCAGACGUGAAAUUCCAGGGCUCAACCCUGGAACUGCGUUUGAAACUGUUCUUCUUGAGUGAGGGAGAGGCAGGCGGAAUUCCGUGUGUAGCGGUGAAAUGCGUAGAUAUACGGAGGAACACCAGUGGCGAAGGCGGCCUGCUGGACAUUAACUGACGCUGAGGCGCGAAAGCGUGGGGAGCAAACAGGAUUAGAUACCCGGGUAGUC